UGAAAUUUUCCUCUGAUUUACCCAAUGCAUCACCUGAAUAUCUGCACAUAACGAUCACCAUGUGAAGAUGAAGGUCUCUUUGGGUGGGGUAUGUUCAUCUUUUAGGGUUAGAUUUCAUGCCAAGUAAGCACUUUUUUAUUUAUUUUGGAGUAGCCGUGGGGCUACUGAUGAGACGCCCACCUUGUCUUUCUUGAUGCAGAGACCCUCCGACAUUGGAGGACGACGGAGACAGAGACCUCUGAGGGCUUCAAUGGUGGUGAGGAAUCAUCUUAUUGCCGGAGCAUGCAGUAUUGAGACUCUAUUCCUGUAUCAUGCCCAUGCAAAGAAUGGAACCUCCCAUGAUGAUGACGAUGAUGAUGAUAAUGAGGAUGGUUCUUCAGUGCCUGGUUCUUUGCUUUGAGCCACUUGAGAUGGAAUCCUAACCUUCUUCUUCAUCAUCCUCUCUCUCUUCUCUCUCUCUCUCUCUCUCUCUCUCUCUCUCUCUCUCUUUCUCUCUCCCUCAAUCCCGGUGAAUUCAAGGAUCAUCCCCAUUAAUUCUUGUGAAAUCUGACUGAUGUGAUGGAAGGCUGAGAGAUCUAGCCAGGGGAAGCAACAUCCUCCUCAAGAAAGCUCAUCGUCUACCUCAAGCAAGGUCCUCUAGUCAGGGAAAGACCCGCCACAGGACUUGCC
rnacentral:lncRNA from 1 species